GAUGAACGCUGGCGGCGUGCCUAAUACAUGCAAGUCGAGCGGACGGACGCGAAGCUUGCUUCUCUGAUGUUUGCGGCGGACGGGUGAGUAACACGUGGAUAACCUCCCUAUAAGACUGGGAUAACUUCGGGACACCGGAGCUAAUCCCGGAUAAUCUUUUGCACCGCAUGAUUCAAAAGUGAAAGACGGUCUUGCUGUCACUUAUCGAUGGAUCUGAGCUUGAUGAGCUAGUUGGUACGGUAACGGCUUACCAAGGCAACGAUGCAUAGCCGACCUGCGGGGGGGGUCGCCGACACUAGAGCGGGGACAGGGUCCAUACGCCUGCGAGAGGCAGCAGUCGGGUAGCUGCCGCAGCGGGCGGAAGCCUGACGCAGCAGCGGCGCGCGAGUGAUGAAGGUCCACGGUUCGUAAUGCUCUGUUUUGAGUGAUGAACAGCUGUGUGAGUAACCGUGCACAGCUUGACGGUAAUUAGUCAGAAAGCCCCGGCUAACUACGUG
rnacentral:rRNA from 1 species